ACUGAGCCACCCUAAAAUAACCCCAUUGGUAUCGCAAGACAAGUCCAAAUUUGUGUGACAGACAAUCAAGGACUCCACGAAAAGAGGUUUGAUGAAGAUCUGAUAUUGUAUUUCAAAAUAGAACUCUCUGAAAACUGCACAUUUUGCUGUCAUUACCCCUGACUGAAAAAAAUCUGUUAAAUCUUUUUAAUGAGAUAUUGCAACACCGGUCCAGUUCUGGGGGGCACUACACCACUGCAGGUCUCCAACAAAAGAGGUCCCAUCCAAAUCUGAUGUGGCAUUUCAAAAUAAAAGUCCCCUGAAAUUGGUAUAUUUUACUGUCAUUACCACGGAUUUCAAAAAUUCAUUAAAAAAAAAUAAAAAAUCGAUGAAAUAUCGCAAAACCAGUCUAGUACUGGGGGACACUACACCACCCCAGGUUCCCAACAAAAGAGCACUGACGUCCGUAUUAUUGAGAAGCUUUUAUUUUGAAGGUGGCUUUCACCGCGAGUUGCCUACCUAUUACCGUAAUGCCUAGUAUGAACAAAAUUAGGGGCGGCUCUUCUUGACUGGUACUUUACGUGUGGAGGCUGCCUUGACCGCAGUGACUGUCGGACUGACCAUCUCAUGUGUCACGAACGCAGAUUUCAAAAAUUCAUUAAAAAACAUCUGUGAGAUAUCGCAACACCACCCCAGGUUUCCAACAAAAGAGGUCCCAUCCAAAUCUGAUGUGGCAUUUCAAAACAAAGGUCCCCUGUAAUUGGUAUAUUUCACUGUCAUUACCACGGAUUUCAAAAAUUCAUUUAAAAAAAAAAAUCUAUGAAAUAUCGCAACACCAGUCCAGUACUGGGGGACACUACACCACCCCAGGUUCCCAACAAAAGAGCACUGACGUCCGUAUUAUUGAGAAGCUUUUAUUUUGAAGGUGGCUUUCGCCGCGAGUUGCCUACCUAUUACCGUAAUGCCUAGUAUGGACAAAAUUAGGGGCGGCUGUUCUUGACUGGUACUUUACGUGUGGAGGCUGGCUUGACCGCAGUGAAUGUCGGACUGACCAUCUCAUGUGACAUGGCGCAAGAUCACCGUGCUUGGGCUACUUCUGUUCGGGACGCCGUCCAGGCCAAUGAAGACGCCGGCCCAACCCGUACUGGUCCGAGUGCUGCAUUUCCGAUAUUGGUUCGUUCUUCCCAAUUCCGGAAGGUGGAGUGAUUGGAUGAACUACUUGACGGCGUCGUGACGCAAAGCACACGAAGAAAAAAUAAGACUACGGAGGAUUUUAUAUCAGCAAAAUG